UACGUAGGGGGCUAGCGUUGUCCGGAAUCAUUGGGCGUAAAGAGCGUGUAGGCGGCCCGGUAAGUCCGCUGUAAAAGUCAAAGGCUCAACCUUUGAAUGUCAGUGGAUACUGCCGGGCUAGAGUCCGGAAGAGGCGAGUGGAACUCCUGGUGUAGCGGUGGAAUGCGUAGAUAUCAGGAGGAACACCGGUGGUGUAGACGGCUUUCUGGACCGUAACUGACGCUGAGACACGAAAGCGUGGGUAGCAAACAGG
rnacentral:rRNA from 1 species